GGCGCGGUAGCCAAGUGGUAAGGCGAAGGUCUGCAAAACCUUUAUCGGCGGUUCGAUUCCGCCCCGCGCCU
rnacentral:tRNA from 1 species